UCCGGGUUGAUCCUGCCGGACCCUACUGCUAUCGGGGUGGGACUAAAACAGGCGAGUCGAACGACUUCUAGCCAUGAUGAAGUCGUGGCAUACGGCUCAGUAACACGUGGCUAACCUACCCUUGAGACGGAGACAACCCCGGGGAACUGGGGCUAAUCCCAGAUAGAUGAGAACUCCUGGAACGGGUUCUCGUCCAAAAAGCGUCUAGGCCAUGCUUCUAGAUGUUGCUCAAGGAUGGGGCCGCGGCCGAUCAGGCUGUUGGUGAGGCAACGGCUCACCAAACCUUUAACCGGUACGGGCCGUGGGAGCGGGUGCCCGGAGAUGGGGACUGAGACAAGGUCCCAGGCCCUACGGGGCGCAGCCGUUGCGAAACCUCGUCAAUGCACGAAAGUGUGAACGGGCUACCCCGAGUGCUGUCCGCUGAGGAUGGCUUUUCUCUGCUGUAAGGAGGCGGAGGAAUAAGGAGAGGGCAAGUCUGGUGUCAGCCGCCGCGGUAAUACCAGCUCUCCGAGUGGUGGGGAUGUUUAUUGGGCUUAAAGCGUCCGUAGCCUGCCUUUCAAGUCUCUCGUUAAAUCCAGCGAUUCAAUCGUUGGACUGCGGGAGAUACUGUUAGGCUAGGGGGCGGGAGAAGCCGACGGUAUUUCCGGGGUAGGGGUAAAAUCCUAUAAUCCCGGGAGGACCACCAGUGGCGUAGGCGGUCGGCUAGCACGCGCUCGACGGUGAGGGACGAAAGCUGGGGGAGCAAACCGGAUUAGAUACCCGGAUAGUCCCAGCUGUAAACGAUGCGGGCUAGGUGUUGGGGUGGCCACGAGCCACUUCAGUGCCGCAGGGAAGCCAUUAAGCCCGCCGCCUGGGGAGUACGGCCGCAAGGCUGAAACUUAAAGGAAUUGGCGGGGGAGCACCACAAGGGGUGAAGCUUGCGGUUCAAUUGGAGUCAACGCCGGAA
rnacentral:rRNA from 1 species